rnacentral:rRNA from 1 species
CUACGGGUGGCAGCAGUGGGGAAUAUUGGACAAUGGGCGAAAGCCUGAUCCAGCCAUGCCGCGUGUGUGAAGAAGGCCUUCGGGUUGUAAAGCACUUUCAGUGGGGAAGAAAGCCUUGGGGCUAAUACCCUCGAGGAAGGACAUCACCCACAGAAGAAGCACCGGCUAACUCCGUGCCAGCAGCCGCGGUAAUACGGAGGGUGCGAGCGUUAAUCGGAAUUACUGGGCGUAAAGCGCGCGUAGGCGGUCUGAUAAGCCGGUUGUGAAAGCCCCGGGCUCAACCUGGGAACGGCAUCCGGAACUGUCAGGCUAGAGUGCAGGAGAGGAAGGUAGAAUUCCCGGUGUAGCGGUGAAAUGCGUAGAGAUCGGGAGGAAUACCAGUGGCGAAGACGGCCUUCUGGACUGACACUGACGCUGAGGUGCGAAAGCGUGGGUAGCAAACAGGAUUAGAUACCCCAGUAGUC